rnacentral:rRNA from 1 species
UGGGGAAUUUUGCACAAUGGGGGAAACCCUGAUGCAGCGACGCCGCGUGAUUUAGAAGGCCUUCGGGUUGUAAAAAUCUUUUCUAUGGGAAGAAAAUGACAGUACCAUAGGAAUAAGGACUGGCUAAUUACGUGCCAGCAGCCGCGGUAAUACGUAAGGUCCGAGCGUUGUCCGGAAUCAUUGGGCGUAAAGGGUACGUAGGCGGGUAAGCAAGUUAGAAGUGAAAUCCUGUAGCUCAACUACGGUAAGCUUUUAAAACUGCUCAUCUUGAGAUAUGGAAGGGAAAGUGGAAUUCCUAGUGUAGCGGUGAAAUGCGCAGAUAUUAGGAGGAAUACCGGUGGCGAAGGCGACUUUCUGGCCAUAAUCUGACGCUGAGGUACGAAAGCGUGGGUAGCAAACAGG